UAAAUAUGAAAACAAGCGUAUGUUCACAGUACCUAUAACUGCACUUUGCUUUUUGCGAGAUUGACAGAUGGCCGACUGACCCGGUUUACUCUCAUUCAUUUCGUUCACGAAUGAGAUAAGCUAUGUACCAGUUCAUUUCAUUCAGGAACGAGAUGUAUCAAUUCAUUAAACUCGUUCACGAACGACAUGUACCAGUUCAGUCAUUUCAUUCAUGAACGAGAUGUACCAAAUCAUUCAACUCGUUCACGAACGAUAAGAUCUCUCGAUUUCGUUCAGACUCAUAUGAAAUCAAAAAGAACGAUUCGUUCACGAACGACACAUCACUAAUGCAACUGUUCAGCGUUCGUGUCGUGUGGGUUGACUCGCCAUCUCGCAUCGUCCUCAAAUUGAAAUGAUCGGAGUUCCAGCAUAAAAAAAAAACCUGACCUGUAUAUAUACACAGGCAACAUUAAGUACAGAUAGCAUUUGUUGGCCUCCUAAACAUUUAACAGUAACACUUUCACUGUAAUUCAACAACUCAGUCGACAUUACGCCAUCUGAUUAAACAAAUAUCAUCGUCAUCAUACAAUAUAAACACUUGCAACUCAUACACGUUACUGAUUAACUUAGCCAACAAACCUCUUCUAACUUGUAAUAAACCAGAACUCAUCAGUAUCACAUUAUCUCUCACUCAAAUACAUUGUUGCACAUAUCUGAUUGCAUAUAUGACUAUUUACACAGUGCAAAAUGUGUACUCACCAAAAUUCAAAGAAAUAAAAGCAUGGAUGUAUUUUUAUCUUCUUUGACUCCUCUCUUUAGCUCUUGCUCAAAGUUAUGCUGCUACUAAUAUCAUUAGUCUCAUAGUGAAAAGAAAAUGGCUUCAUGCAACUAACAUGGUGGGGGCGGGACUUCGACAUAAACCUCACUUAAUUGGACAGUCAUUAAAAUGUCAAUCAUCACACUAACUUACUUUUCACUUUGAUUUUAUAAUUUCUUACACUUAUUAUUAAUAUUAUUUCUGGUUAGUUUAUUUUAACACUUUAAUUGAUUCCUUAUUUUAUAAUAAUUUUAAAUUAUACAGGGUUACAAUUGCUCUUGAUUAUCAAUACUAUCUGAUAUUUCUGGUCUUUCUGCUCUGUCUGAUGCUGCUGCUGGCGGCUGGAUGCAUCUUCUGGAGAUCUACAAGAGCAAGGAAACCAAGGAGAGGAAGCCAACUGAUCCAGAGCCCAGACGAUGAGGAUGAUACGUACACAACUGUAGUCUACAGUUCAUCUUAAAGACAGAACGUCCCUGCAGAUGAACACGAAUGCUGAAGAGUGUGCAGAAAGAUAAAAACACACACAUUUUCAAACACACACUGUGACCAACAAUGUUUUAUUUUCUGUGGAAAAAAAAAUUACUUUCUCUCAAACGUUCCCUGUCUCUACACAAUUUCUAUCAUUUUCACUCCCACUUUUGCUUGUAUAAUAAAUGACUGAUAUUUUCUAAUUCUUAGCCUUACUGGGUAAUUACUAAAUUAUGUCUUCAUGACCAUGUAAAAUUAAAUUCAUGCAUUGUGAAGACAUUUUAGUAAUGUUUAUUCAGUCUUAUAUUAGCAUUAUUAAGAUACUAUUAUAGUUUUUAUUGAUAUUUUGAAUGUUUGAAUUUUUAUGUUGUUUUUAUUUUUAGUUAAAGUUUUAGUAAUUUUGCUGAGUAUUUGCUAUUAUUGUUAUUAAUAG